GGAAAGAGAGGGAUUCUAACC
rnacentral:tRNA from 1 species